GCAAAAGCAAUGAACUUCUUGGGGGACAAAAUACAGGGAAGCAGAGCUGUAAAGCCAAGGCUGGACUCCUCAGAAAAAAACCUGACUUUUCAUCUCUUGAGUUCAAAGACGAUCUCAAGGCCUGAGCAGUGUGGGUAACGUCUGCGAAGAUGAUGAGAGAUUUUGGGGCAAUUAUUGACCAAUUCUGUGCCCAGCAGCAGAGAGGAGGAGGAAGGAGGGAGUGAUGAUGUUAGGAUGAAGGGAAGUUGCUUCUUUGAUCCUUCUCAUAAAGCCCUAUUGUACAGAAAUGAAGAGAGAGGAGGCUUCUCUCAUCACCGAUGGAAGAUACCACAGGAGAAGGGAUCCCUCUCUCUGGAUGGACAGACAUGCAUCAGUUGUGCGUACAGAAAAGACCAGCAGAAUUACAAAAUAAACAGAUUACAAUGACA